rnacentral:rRNA from 1 species
AGCUCCAAUAGCGUAUAUUAAAGUUGUUGCAGUUAAAAAGCUCGUAGUUGGACUUCUGGCAUGCUGCGCCUGGCCCGCCCGCGUUAGCGGUGUGAGUGCCGGUUUGCGCGGUUGCCAUCCUUCAGAAAAUCCGGCCUGCCUUUUGUUAGGUUGGGUCGGCGAUUCUGAUCGUUUACUUUGAAAAAAUUAGAGUGUUUAAAGCAGGCAAUUGCUGUGAAUACAUUAGCAUGGAAUAAUAAUAUAGGACUUUGGUUCUAUUUUGUUGGUUUCUAGGACUAAAGUAAUGAUUGAUAGGGAUAGUUGGGGGUGCUAGUAUUGAGUGGCCAGAGGUGAAAUUUUCGGACUCACUCAAGACUAACUUAUGCGAAAGCAUUCACCAAGGAUGUCUUCU